ensembl:processed_transcript
UAUUCUCCACCACCAGAAUCUUGUACAUAACCAAAAGAAAAUAGAACAUUUUAAUAAAUUGUUCCAUGGCAACCGUACUUUGGAAUCUGAUUUUAAUGCCCACAGUUUCACGGACAAGCACGUGUUUUCUGACUUGGAGAUUGUACCUGAUCAUGAGCCAGUGCUAAAUAAUAUGCCAAUAAUUAGUGAGCACACUUCCACCCUCUGUUAAGACUGAUAAGAGAUCCUUAGUGAACCAACACAACAACUUGCCUGUUCAAACCUCCACUGGGAGUAUUUUCACUCUGGAAUGUGUGCAGCCAAACAAGGCAUGCUGGACCCAGCCACCCAGUCCAGUCCAGCUGGCGAAGUUAAACCAUGCCUUACUGGAGAGAGGGCCAAAAGAUGAAUUCCUAGCAUCUGUUGGAGGAACAGUCCUCACAAGGUUGGAUUUCCAAACAUUGGGACUACUUCAAGAUGUAGAGGCGACAGUAAGAUUCUGCAAACACAUUUUGGUAUAUUAAUACCUUAACCCAAGUAGUA